rnacentral:rRNA from 1 species
AGUGAACGCUGGCGGUAGGCCUAACACAUGCAAGUCGAACGGCAGCACAGGAGAGCUUGCUCUCUGGGUGGCGAGUGGCGGACGGGUGAGGAAUACAUCGGAAUCUACUUUUUCGUGGGGGAUAACGUAGGGAAACUUACGCUAAUACCGCAUACGACCUACGGGUGAAAGCAGGGGACCUUCGGGCCUUGCGCGAUUGAAUGAGCCGAUGUCAGGAUUAGCUAGUUGGCGGGGUAAAGGCCCAGCAAGGCGACGAUCCGUAGCUGGUCUGAGAGGAUGAUCAGCCACACUGGAACUGAGACACGGUCCAGACUCCUACGGGAGGCAGCAGUGGGGAAUAUUGGACAAUGGGCGCAAGCCUGAUCCAGCCAUACCGCGUGGGUGAAGAAGGCCUUCGGGUUGUAAAGCCCUUUUGUUGGGAAAGAAAUCCAGCUGGCUAAUACCCGGUUGGGAUGACGGUACCCAAAGAAUAAGCACCGGCUAACUUCGUGCCAGCAGCCGCAGUAA